GAUGAAGAACGCAGCGAAAUGCGAUAAGUAAUGUGAAUUACAGAAUUCAGUGAAUCAUCGAAUCUUUGAACGCACAUUGCGCCCGCCAGUAUUCUGGCGGGCAUGCCUGUUCGAGCGUCAUUACAACCCUCAGGCCCCCGGGCCUGGCGUUGGGGAUCGGCGGAGCCCCCCGUGGGCACACGCCGUCCCCCAAAUACAGUGGCGGUCCCGCCGCAGCUUCCAUCGCGUAGUAGCUAACACCUCGCGACUGGAGAGCGGCGCGGCCACGCCGUAAAACACCCAACUCUUCUGAAGUUGACCUCGAAUCAGGUAGGAAUACCCGCUGAACUUAAGCAUAUCAAUAAGCGGAGGA
rnacentral:misc_RNA from 1 species